rnacentral:rRNA from 1 species
GACGAACGCUGGCGGCGUGCUUAACACAUGCAAGUCGAACGGAAAGGCCUCUUUCGGGGGGUACUCGAGUGGCGAACGGGUGAGUAACACGUGAGUAACCUGCCCUUGACUUUGGGAUAACUUCAGGAAACUGGGGCUAAUACCGGAUAGGAGCUCCUGCUGCAUGGUGGGGGUUGGAAAGUUUCGGCGGUUGGGGAUGGACUCGCGGCGUAUCAGCUUGUUGGUGGGGUAGUGGCUUACCAAGGCUUUGACGGGUAGCCGGCCUGAGAGGGUGACCGGCCACAUUGGGACUGAGAUACGGCCCAGACUCCUACGGGAGGCAGCAGUGGGGAAUAUUGCACAAUGGGUGGAAGCCUGAUGCAGCAACGCCGUGGGCGGGAUGACGGCCUUCGGGUUGUAAACCGCUUUCGCUCAUGACGAAGCUUUGUGUGACGGUAGUGGGUAAAGAAGCACCGGCUAACUACGUG